CAACCUCAGAUCAGACAUGGCGAGCCGCUGAAUUUAAGCAAAUUAGUCAGCAAGGGAAAAGAAACUAACAAGGAUUCCAUCAGUAACGGUGAGCAAAGAGGGAAAAGCCCAGGGCUGAAUCUCCCCCCGCAGUGGGGCACGGGACAUGUGACGUACAGAAGCCCCCCUCCUGGGCGGCGCUCUUGGGGGACCCAAAUCCUUGUGAUCGAGGCCGCAGCCCGCAGACGGUGUGAGGCCAGUAGCGGCCCCCCAGCACGCCGGGCCCGGGGCUUCUCUGAGUCAGGUUGCUUGGGAAUGCAGCCUAAACCGGAUGGUAAACUUCAUCUAAGGUUAAAUACUGGCACGAGACCGAUAGCCAACAAGAAUCGUAAGAGAAAGUCGAAAAGAACUUUGAAGAGAGAGUUCAAGAGGGUGUGAAACCGUUAAGAGGUAAACGGGUGGGGCCUGCGCAGUCUGCCUGGAGGAUUCAACCCGGCGAGUUUCAUUCGUCUGGCGCAGGUUUGGCAGGUCCUCGCCUCCGCCUCCCCUCCAUCGCCUGGGCAAACCCCAUCUGUGGUAGCGCCGUGGCGGGGGGCGUCGCUUCUCCCCUCGCGGGGGGUAAGCGUCCUCAAAGCACAGCGUUUCUCGCAGGGGUGCAGGGGCUGGGCCCGCUGGCCCCCGGCCCUGCUGUCAACCGGGGCGGACUGCGCUCAGUGCGCCCCGACCGCGUGGCGCCACUGGGCUGGGCUCACAGGCCGCGCUGGGGUGCCCGGGGUCCGCAGCGAUGUUGGCAACCCACCUGACCCGUCUUGAAACACAGACCAAAGAAUGAGCUUGACAUGCGGCAGGUGCGCGAGUCAGGAGCCGUUGUCGAAAGCCCGCGGCACAAUGAAGGUAAGGGCCGGCACGCGCCGGCUGAGGUGGGAUCCCGUGGCGCAUGUUGCGCCUGGUAGUCCCAGGCGCACCACCGGUCCGUCUCACCCACCGCCCCUUCGCGGGGCCGGGAAGGUGGAGCGUGAGCAUCCGUGCUAGGACCCGAAAGAUGGUGAGCUAUGCCUGGGCAGGGCGAAGCCAGAGGAAACUCUGGUGGAGGUCCGUAGUGGUCCUGACGUGCAAAUCCGUCGUCCGACGCGGGUCUAGGGGCGAAAGACAAAUCAAACCAUCUAGUAGCUGGUUCCCUCUGAAGUUUUCCUCAGGAUAGCUGGCACUUGGCAAUGGGCAGUUUUACCUGGUAAAGCAAAUGAUUAGAGGCCUUGGAGCUGAAACAAUCUCAACCUAUUCUCAAACUUUCAAUGGGUAAGGGGGCCGGCUCGCUGGCGUGGAGCCGCGCCAUGGAAUGCGAAUGCUCAGUGGGCCACUUUUGGUAAGCAGAACUGGCGCUGCGGGAUGAACCGAACACCGAGUUAAGGCGCCCAAUGUUGACACUCAUCAGAGCCCAGCAAAGGUGUUGGUUGAUGUAGACAGCAGGACAGUGGCCAUGAAAAUCGGAAUCCGCUAAGGAGUGUGUAACAACUCACCUGCCGAAUCAACUGGCCCUGAAAAUGGAUGGCGCUGGAGCGUCGGACCCAUACCCGGCCGUCGCCGGCAGUGCGAUGCCCGCAGGGGCUAGGCCAUGACGAGUAGGAGAGCCACGGCAGUGUGCCUCGAAGCCUGGGGCGUGGGCCCGGGUGGAGCCGCCGCAGGUGCAGAUCUUGGUGGUAGUAGCAAAUAUUCAAACGAGAGCUUUGAAAGCCAAAGUGGAGCAGGGUUCCUUGUGAACAGCAGUUGAACAUGGGUCAGUCAGUCCUAAGCGAUAGGCGAGCGCCGUUCCGAAAGGGCGGGCGAUGGCCUUUGUUGCCCUCAGCCGAUCGAAAGGGAGUCAGGUUCAGAUCCCCGAAUCCGGAGUGGCAGAGACGGGCGCCGCGAGGCACCCAGUGCGGUGACGCAACCGAUCCCAGAGAAGCUGGUGGGAGCCUCAGGGAGAGUUCUCUUUUCUUUGUGAAGGGCUGGGUGCCUUGGAAUGGAUUCGUCCCGAGCAAGGGGCCCUCACCUUGGAAAGCAUUGCAGUUGCAGCAGCAUCCGGUGAGCUCUCGCUGGCCGUGAAAAUCCGGGGAAGAGGGUGUAAGUCUCGCGCCGGGCCGUACCCAUAUCCGCAGCAGGUCUCCAAGGUGAACAGCCUCUGGCAUGUUGGAACAAUGUAGGUAAGGGAAGUCGGCAAGCCGGAUCCGUAACUUCAGGAUAAGGAUUGGCUCUAAGGGCUGGGUCGGUCGGGCUGGGGCGCGAAGCGGGGCUGGGCACGUGCUGCAGCUGGACGAGGUGCUGCGUGCGGGUGAGUGCGCUCCGCGUGGCCCUUCCCGGGCACCGGGGUGGGCACGCGCACAGUGGCAAUUCUGGACACACGCCGGGCCCUUCCUGUGGAUCGCCCAGCUGUGGCGGGCGCCGCCCGCUCCCCCCCUCCGUCCACCCUCCGCCUUGCCACGGCCGGCACCCCAGCAGUUCCCACCGUUGGGGUUCCCGCGGUGUGCGGCCAGCGCGCGCGCAGCCGCAGCCAGCGUCGGCUGAGCGGUUCGUGCGGGGGAGGGUCCCCGGGGCAGGGUCUCCGGGCCAGCGCCCCGCCUCAGUCGGUGCCUAGCAGCCGGCUUAGAACUGGUGCGGACCAGGGGAAUCCGACUGCUUAAUUAAAACAAAGCAUUGUGAAGGCCUGAGGCGGGUGUUGACGCGAUGUAAUUUCUGCCUCAGGGAGAGUUCUCUUUUCUUUGUGAAGGGCUGGGUGCCUUGAAGUGGAUUCGUCCCGAGCAAGGGGCCCUCACCUUGGAAAGCAUUGCAGUUGCAGCAGCAUCCGGUGAGCUCUCGCUGGCCCGUGAAAAUCCGGGGGAGAGGGUGUAAGUCUCGCGCCGGGCCGUACCCAUAUCCGCAGCAGGUCUCCAAGGUGAACAGCCUCUGGCAUGUUGGAACAAUGUAGGUAAGGGAAGUCGGCAGGCCGGAUCCGUAAUUUCGGGAUAAGGAUUGGCUCUAAGGGCUGGGUCGGUCGGGCUGGGGCGCGAAGCGGGGCUGGGCGCGCGCCGCGGCUGGACGCGCGCUGGGCCCUUCCCGUGGAUCGUCCUAGCUGCGGCGGGCGCCGCCCGCCCCCCCCUCCACCCACCCUCCGCCUUGCCGCGGCCAGCGCCCCAGCGGCGGCCGCCGCCGCGCGCCGCCUCCCCGGCGGCGCGCGCGCGCGCACGCGCGGCCGGCGCGUGGCCGCGGCCGGCGUCGGCCGAGCGGUUCGCGCGGGGGAGGGUCCCCGGGGGGGGGUCCCCGGGCCGGCGCCCCGCCUCGGCCGGCGCCUAGCAGCCGGCUUAGAACUGGUGCGGACCAGGGGAAUCCGACUGUUUAAUUAAAACAAAGCAUCGCGAAGGCCCGAGGCGGGUGUUGACGCGAUGUGAUUUCUGCCCAGUGCUCUGAAUGUCAAAGUGAAGAAAUUCAAUGAAGUGCGGGUAAACGGCGGGAGUAACUAUGACUCUCUUAAGAAUAGUUACUAACUGGGCUCAGCUGCAGAAGUCGCACCUGCUCGCGGUCCCGCUGGAUGCCCUUGUGGUAACUAAGUCGACUUUUGCCCCAGUGUGAGUGAGGGCAUUUACCAGCCCUCCCUAUUGUUGGGCUCGCCACCCAAUGGUAGUAUCACGAUCUGCUGAAACAAAGAGUUUGCUGCAGCCUGUUCGCUGUUGCACAGUGCCUUGUCCAUGGGCCGUUGAUGUUGGACAAAAGUUGGUAGCUCGAGAGAGGGUCGACUACUGACUAUUUCUACCCUCACUUGGACUGGUCAUUUCUUUAACUUACCGGACUGACAUAAUGGUGCAAUCUCUAGCUUUGCGUUACAUCUCUACUGCAACUCAGACUGACCCAUUAGAUCUAAGGGUCAAUGAUGCCAAAUCUGUGCCCUCUCUGCCCAGGGAAGAGGGGUUCAAUCUUGUAAGUCUAGAGUUUGUUAACUCUGGAAUUGUCAAAGGAUACAUCAUGCAGAUGUCUGGGAGUUUCUGGGGCAACUCCCUGAGCCAUAUGAGAUCUCCCCUAUGGGGCUGGCCCAGGAAGAGGCUGUGAGUGCAGAGGGAAGUUUCGAAGAGCCCAGAACACCUGAGGCCAAAAGUAGGAGGGGGGAUACUGAAGAGCCCAAAACACCCGAGGCUCCUUACGGGUCCAAAGCUAUUGGUAGUACGCCAAAAACACCGGUCGUAUCGAUGCCGGACAAACAGCCAUCUUGUCCUCAAUGUGAGACCCCGUUUACUAGGAUGCUGGGGCUGAUUGAUCAUCUUAAAAGGGUGCACGGGCAGAGAAAGAUCAUUUUCAGAUGUGUGAAGUGUGGUAAACAAAAUCUAAAAUACCACAGUAUCUCGUGUCACAUCCCACGUUGCAAGGGAAUGGUGUGUGUGGCUCCCACAGGUGACUGGGUCUGUGAGGUGUGCCAUCGAGGGUUUGCCACCAAGACUGGCCUGGGUUAGCACAAGAGGAUAAGACAUCCUCUUGUGCGGAAUGAGGAGCGGAUUAUUGCUUCCCAUCCUAAAGAGUCAUCGGCCCGAGGGGCCCACAAACGAGUAUGGACUGAAGAGGAAGAGGCUCUCCUGAUACAACUGGUGGACAAGUACACCGGUAAAAGGAACAUUAAUCAACCUUUAGCGGAGCAUAUUCCAAUGAAGACAGCAAAGCAGAUAAGCGAUAAAAGGCGCCGUCUAGUGAAAGGUCCCUCCGCAGAAGAACAUGAAGGCCUAGUAGGCGCCGUGGGGAUCGAACAUCCACCCGAGUCUGCUAAAUUGCCGAAGGAGGGACAGUUAAAGCUCCAAUACCGCAAGAUGAUCAAAGCGGGACUAUCGGUUGGAAAGUUCACCAUGUAUCGGGAGGCCUUUGAGAAAAUUGUUGAUGGGCAAGAUCCAGGUCGUGUGGUGAAUGACGUAUAUAACGAGUUUCUUGGUAUUCUGGGGGAGCCUAGCCAGAGCAAAUCUAUCUGUAAGGGUCGAAAAAAGCAGGCACCCCGUGGCGAAAAAACAUCCAAGACUACACCAAAUUGGAUGUGUAAAAGAGCUAUCAAGAGGGGCAAAUUCUUGCGAUUUCAGUUGUUGUUCAAGUCACAUAGAAGGCGCCUCGCGCGUAUCAUCUUGGAUAGCACGGAAGCCAUUCAGUGCCAGGUACCAUCGAGCGUUGUGCACGAUCACUUUAAGAAUAGAUGGGAUACAUCUGGUACAUUUGGUGGCCUCUUAGGUUUCCCUCCUUACAAGGAGGCGAACAAUGUGGUGUUCGAGGCCCUAAUUACAGAGAAAGAGGUGGAUAAGAACUUGAAAGAGAUGUGUAAAACCUCCGCUCCCGGGCCAGAUGGGAUUACUCUGGGUCAAAUUAUUGCAAAAGACCCGAGAUUUUCCCGGUUGACUGAGAUCUUCAACCUCUGGCUUAUUACCGGUACAAUUCCAGAUGUGCUGCGGGACUGCAGGACAGUCUUGAUACACAAGUCUUCAGAUGUAGAGAAGCUUGGUGAUAUCAAUAACUGGAGGCCUAUCACUAUUGGUUCAAUGGUGAUUAGGCUAUUUUCCAGGAUCGCCACGGCGAGGCUGUCCAAAGCUUGUCCCAUUAACCCCCGGCAACGGGGUUUUAUUUGCGCAUCAGGGUGUGCCGAGAACCUCAAGUUGUUACAACUUGUGGUAAAAACAGCAAAAGGAGAGCACAAACAUCUGGGGGUCGUGUUCGUGGACAUCGCUAAGGCAUUUGACACCGUGUGUCAUGAGCAUGUAUUUGAGGGUCUGGUCCAGAGAGGUGUGGAUUCACACGUGAUUGAUUUAGUGAGGGAAAUGUAUCGUGAUGUCAGGACGUACAUUUCCGUUGGAAGGGGAAGAACAGACCCCAUAUACAUUCGCUCAGGUGUCAAACAGGGCAACCCUAUGUCACCUCUGCUGUUUAAUUUAGCGAUGGACCCCCUUCUAUGUAAACUUGAACGUGAAGGUGAAGGUUUCCAUCAUGGGGGUUGGAAAACUACGGCCAUGGCAUUUGCCAAUGACCUAGUGCUCCUGAGUGAUUCCUGGGAAGGCAUGUGUUGUAACAUCAAAAUUCUGGAGGCCUUUUGUAAUCUUACUGGCCUCAGUACGAAGGGUGAAAAAUGUCACUUUUACACUUUGGCUUUUACAUCAAGCCAACAAGGGACUCAUAUACUAUCAAUGAUUGUCCCGCAUGGGUAAUAAACGGAUCCCCUCUUAACAUGAUCGACCCAGGUUCCUCAGAAAGAUAUCUUGGCACAUGGGUAGACCCCUGGACUGGCUUCGCAGACCCUAGAUUAUCAGAGAAGCUAACUGAUUGGCUCCAUCGAAUUGGUCGUUCGCCUUUAAAACCUCUCUAGAAAGUCAAUAUACUCAGGACUUAUACUAUUCCGAGACUGAUAUAUUUGGCUGACCAUACUGAGGUUAAGGUGGGCCUCCUCGAAUCCCUUGACCAGUUGAUUCGUAAUACGGGCAAGGAAUGGCUUCAUCUUCCACAAAGUACGUGUGAUGCGAUCUUGUACUCGAGUUUCAAAGAUGGUGGUUUAGGUCUCAUCAGAUUGGUGGCGCUCAUUCCAAGUAUACAGGCGAGAAGACUGCAUAGAUUGGCACAGUCUUUGGAUGAGACUCUUGUGAAUUAUUUGAAGGAAAUCCAUCUGGAACGGUUAUUUGAAAGAUUGUGGCUAAAAGCAGGGGGGACACAAGAGUCCGUCCCAUCAAUUUGGGAGCCUCUACCGGCGGUAGAGUUGGGGGGUGAUGAUGAAGCCCGGCUUGAAUGGGAAGCACCCGCUCCUAAAAUUUGCUAUCCAAAACCGUGUAAUUGGAGGAAAUUAGAAUUUCAAAAGUGGAUCCACCUGGUAUCCCAGGGUCAUGGAAUUGAAAAUUUUGAAAAUGAUGAGAUCAGUAAUGCCUGGAUAAGGUGGUUUGGGGGCAUACCUCACCGAAAAUUAAUCACGGCCCUACAAUUAAGAGCCAAUGUCUACCCGACAAGGGAAUUCCUUGCUAGGGGUAGACAGGAGAAUGUUGUUCAAUCCUGCCGACAUUGUGGAGCUAGAUAUGAGACCGUGGCCCACAUUGUCGGCAACUGCGCCAUCACUCAGGAAGCCAGGAUUGAGAGACAUAACGCCAUCUGUGAAACUCUUAGUGAAGAGGCUAAGAGGGAGUGUUGGGCAGUAGACAAGGAGCCACACAUUAGGGAUGAGGCAAACGAAUUGUUUAAACCGGAUUUGAUCUUUGUUAAAGGGUCUAAAGCAGUCGUGGUUGAUGUGACAGUGAGGUACGAGCACUCUGAAAUCUCAUUGAGUGAAGCCGCCUUGCAAAAGGCCAAGAAAUAUCAGCGCCUUCAUAAGCAGAUCGAACAAUUGACGAAUGCAAAGGAAAUUGAAUAUGUUGGCUUCCCCAUGGGAGCCUGUGGCAAAUGGUUAGGCAAGAAUACUGAGUUGCUGACCGCCCUUGGUCUCUCUAAAACGAGGCUAGAGAGAACCGCGAGGGCCCUAGCAUCUAAAGUACUCUUCGCCUCUGUCGAUAUUGCACAUAUUUUUGUAAGCAAAGC